UCCGUAGCCAAGUGGUAAGGCAAUGGUCUGCAAAACCGUCACCGCCGGUUCGAAUCCGGCCGG
rnacentral:tRNA from 1 species